ensembl:lncRNA
CAAAAAGUUUCUGUUCCUGAUUCUCGUCACAGGACUUUUUUCCACCUUGUAGAAGAGAAUACGCAGAGCACAUCCCUCACAGUCCUGUCUGGCCAGAGAAUUCAAACACUGAGGGAAAAAAAGAAAGAAAGAAAGAAAAAGCAGAAUACUGGAACCAAAGCUGCAGGCCUGCAUGUAGAAAACAUCAACAAGCUUUGCAAAUUUUAUGAUAAGAUAAACAAAGAUAUAAACUGAGGAGAUAAAGCAGAUACAAUUAUGAAUGUAAAUGGAUGUGGUUGAUAACACCUCAGAAGGCAGGAAUCUUUGCAGUUCACUCCUGAUGUCAUUGUCUCACCUGACUUCAAAUUCUGUCCGUCCCCAGCCUUCAGAAUUUGAGACGCAUUAUUCAAAGUGUUUUCCUUCCGCCCACCAUAUGACAUUGCUUCCUUCAUUUUCAAGUAUUACAAUGGUCAACGUCAUGAAGCCUGGAAACAAGACUGACCUCACAAGUGGCUGCCAAACAGGACACCUGAUAGAAUUUGGGAACACAAUUGAAAACCCAAGUUUUCUUU